AUCAUUGAGCUUGAAUCGCCAGCAACUGGUCUCUUUGAUGAGGGUAGAGAUGGGAGAAGUGGGCUGAUUCGCGAUAGUUCAGUCUGAGCAUUUGCUACUUACCCAUUGUCUCCAUUAUCUAACAUUCAACUGUGAGCUAGCUGGGCAAAAUCAUCUUCAGAUUCACCAUCCUCAUGAUUCACACUCGCUGGUGCCAAAUCUGGGGGUUUCUGUCACUUCUGCUUUGGUCAGUGGACUACCUUUGCAAAAGGUUGGAUGAUUAAUUUUUUUUAUUGAAGUUCUUACGCUGUGUAAUUCAGAAGAAGCACGACACGCUCUCGAUAAGAACGACACUGAUCGACAAGGUCAACAAUUACUUAUUGCUUCACAGCCCGCCACCAUGUCCACAAUCAUAGAUUAAGAUUCUAAACGUAAUGUCAAAAUCCAACUCAAUCUGCACUGAAGAUUGCAAAAGUUUACUAAAUAAGCUACAUACUACUACAUAACCGAAGAGGCAUCUUCCCAAGUGCAAAAAUCAAGUCUGCAAGCGAAAGGAGAAACGGGACACAUGCAUGGACAGCAUAGCCCACCUUAUGAGCUUAUUCGUGGGGCACAGAGUGCAGGAGGUAAUUGUCUCAUUUUGCUAAUUCGUAAUAUGGGAAAGCCUUCGCACCCAAAAGAGGUGCAAAAGUGGCAAAGCCAUUUUCGGCAAAAGCAAGAUAAAACUCAGUAUCUAAGAGGGGACAAGACUCGACGUGCGUAAAUACCAAGUGCAAAUAUCUCUCGCAGCUCUUGGACAGUAGUAACUCGAUACUCCAAAUCUCUAGCAAUAACAAUUUUUUGUCGUUCAGGCAGUAAGAAUUGGUGAUCACCCAAGAUGGUGCAUACUGGAAUUCUGCAGCUUCUUCCAAUUAGAACAGCAACGGAUUACGGAACGGUCGAAUCUUACGACCAGAUCCUAAAAGAAAAGCAAUGAAAUAAAGCUAGGGCAAUUUUCGGACUUGGGUUGUGUCGUUCAGCCAAAGGUUUUAGAGCUAGGAAGACAAAUUGAUAUUAGUAGACCUGAUAGGACUGUCAGAUAAAAAACACGAAAUAGCAGAAUAUAAGCAGCCUCCGUCCCGGUAGUUUUCAUCUCAGCCCUCUGAAUCAUAAUUUCCCAUUACUGAAUGGAUCAGGCCACUGCUGGCGAGUACUGCCCAGCCUCUUCUACCACCGGAGGAAGGAUCACCGUACGC